GUGGGGAAUAUUGGACAAUGGGCGGAAGCCUGAUCCAGCCAUGCCGCGUGUGUGAAGAAGGUCUUCGGAUUGUAAAGCACUUUAAGUUGGGAGGAAGGGCAGUAAGCUAAUACCUUGCUGUUUUGACGUUACCGACAGAAUAAGCACCGGCUAACUUCGUGCCAGCAGCCGCGGUAAUACGAAGGGUGCAAGCGUUAAUCGGAAUUACUGGGCGUAAAGCGCGCGUAGGUGGUUCAGCAAGUUGGAGGUGAAAUCCCCGGGCUCAACCUGGGAACUGACUCCAAAACUACUGAGCUAGAGUACGGUAGAGGGUAGUGGAAUUUCCUGUGUAGCGGUGAAAUGCGUAGAUAUAGGAAGGAACACCAGUGGCGAAGGCGACUACCUGGACUGAUACUGACACUGAGGUGCGAAAGCGUGGGGAGCAAACAGGAUUAGAAACCCCAGUAGUCC
rnacentral:rRNA from 1 species